rnacentral:lncRNA from 1 species
CAACAAUACAGGAUUAUCUGAAUCGACCAAGGCCUACCUGGGAAGAAGUAAAAGAGCAACUAGAAAAGAAAAAGAAAGGCUCCAAGGCUUUGGCUGAAUUUGAAGAAAAAAUGAAUGAGAACUGGAAGAAAGAACUGGAAAAACACAGGGAGAAAUUGUUAAGUGGAAGUGAGAGCUCAUCCAAAAAAAGACAGAGAAAGAAAAAAGAAAAGAAGAAAUCUGGUAGGCAGUUCUUCUGAUUCUGAAGAUGAGGAUAAGAAACAAGGAAAACGGAGAAAGAAAAAGAAGAACCGUUCACAUAAAUCUUCUGAAAGCUCCAUGUCAGAAACUGAAUCAGACAGUAAGGAUAGUUUAAAAAAGAAAAAGAAGUCAAAAGAUGGAACUGAGAAAGAAAAGGAUAUUAAAGGACUCAGCAAAAAGAGAAAGAUGUAUUCUGAAGAUAAACCUUUAUCAUCUGAGUCCUUGUCAGAAUCAGAGUAUAUUGAGGAGGUGCGAGCAAAAAAGAAGAAAAGCAGUGAAGAACGAGAAAAAGCAACAGCAAGUAUCUCUUAACGUUUUUACAGACAAUAGAAUAGGUGUUUUGGUUUAAUAUAAAAUGAGUCAUGGUAAAGCUUGAUUGGAUUUACUGGGACCAAAUAAGUAUUUGUUGGGAAAGGUGUGGUGUGUUCAGCAGCUUCACUUAAUGGGUAGGAGAAAGUCAAAAUGGUUCAGGAAAAAUAAAAAAUACCCUGGUAGCAAGCAUGUCCUGUUUCCAUUUCAGUAUUUUACUGUUAGAAAUAUAAGCUCAGGGCUGGGCGCUGUGUCUCACGCCUGUAAUCCCAGCACUUUGAGAGGCUGAGGCAGGUGGAUCAUGAGGUCAGGAGCUCGAGACCAUCCUGGCUAACACGGUGAAACCCCGUCUCUACUAAAAAUACAAAAAAUUAGCCGGGCAUGGUGGCGGGCACCUAUAGUCCCAGCUACUCGGGAGGCUGAGGCAGGAGAAUGGCGUGAACCCGGGAGGCAGAGCUUGCAGUGAGCUGAGAUCACGCCACUGCACUCCAGCC